rnacentral:rRNA from 1 species
GACGAACGCUGGCGGCGUGCUUAACACAUGCAAGUCGAGCGGUAAGGCCUUUCGGGGUACACGAGCGGCGAACGGGUGAGUAACACGUGGGUGAUCUGCCCUGCACUUCGGGAUAAGCCUGGGAAACUGGGUCUAAUACCGGAUAUGACCUCCUAUCGCAUGGUGGGUGGUGGAAAGAUUUAUCGGUGCAGGAUGGGCGCGCGGCCUAUCAGCUUGUUGGUGGGGUAAUGGCCUACCAAGGCGACGACGGGUAGCCAACCUGAGAGGGUGACCGGCCACACUGGGACUGAGACACGGCCCAGACUCCUACGGGAGGCAGCAGUGGGGAAUAUUGCACAAUGGGCGAAAGCCUGAUGCAGCGACGCCGCGUGAGGGAUGACGGCCUUCGGGUUGUAAACCUCUUUCAGCAGGGACGAAGCGCAAGUGACGGUACCUGAAGAAGAAGCACCGGCUAACUACGUG